rnacentral:rRNA from 1 species
CUGGCGGCGUACCUAAUACAUGCAAGUCGAUCGCUGGAUUCCAGCUUGCUGGAAUGAAGGAGAGGCGAACGGGUGAGUAAUACAUAAGCAACCUGCCCACGAAGACUGGGAUAAUCCCUGGAAACGGGGACUAAUACCGGAUAGGUAACAAAACCGCAUGGUUAUGUUAUUAAAGGUUAAAAACACUGGUGGAUGGGCUUAUGGCGCAUUAGCUGGUUGGUGAGGUAAAGGCCCACCAAGGCGAUGAUGCGUAGCCGGCCUGAGAGGGUGAACGGCCACAUUGGGACUGAGACACGGCCCAGACUCCUACGGGAGGCAGCAGUAGGGAAUUUUCGGCAAUGGGCGCAAGCCUGACCGAGCAACGCCGCGUGAAGUGAAGACGGCCUUCGGGUUGUAAAGCUCUGUUGUAAGGGAAGAACAGCGGUGAGAGAAUCACCGAUUGACGGUACCUUACCAGAAAGCCACGGCUAACUACGUGCCAGCAGCAGC